rfam:Oryza sativa Japonica Group DNA, chromosome 11, cultivar: Nipponbare, complete sequence.
UGACUUUGGUUAAAGUCAAACUACUCUAAGUUUGACUAAUUUUGUAGAAAAAAAGUAGUAAUAUUUUUAACCCAAGACAAAUAUAUUAUGAAAAUGUAUUCAAUUAUAGAUUUAAUGAAACUAUGCUGGUGUUGUAAAUAUUACUACUUUUUUCUAUAGAAUUAGUCAAACUUAGAGUAGUUUGACUUUGACCAAAGUCAA